rnacentral:rRNA from 1 species
AGGCCUACGGGGCGCAGCAGUGGGGAAUAUUGGGCAAUGGGCGCAAGCCUGACCCAGCAACGCCGCGUGAAGGAAGAAGGCUUUCGGGUUGUAAACUUCUUUUAUCAGGGACGAAGGAGGUGACGGUACCUGAUGAAUAAGCUCCGGCUAACUACGUGCCAGCAGCCGCGGUAAUACGUAGGGAGCAAGCGUUAUGCGGAUUUACUGGGUGUAAAGCGCUCGUAGGCGGUAUGUCAAGUCAAGGGUGAAAUCCCAGCGCUCA